rnacentral:rRNA from 1 species
UACGUAGGGGGCAAACGUUGUUCGGAAUUAUUGGGCGUAAAGAGCACGUAGGCUGUUGCGUAAGUUGGCGGUAAAAUCCCCGGGCUUAACCCGGGACCUGCCGCCAAGACUGCGCGACUGGAGUUGAGCAGAGGCAGCGGGAAUUCCUGGUGUAGGGGUGAAAUCUGUAGAUAUCAGGAGGAAUACCGAUGGCGAAGGCAAGCUGCUGGGCGAAGACUGACGCUGAGGUGCGAAAGCCAGGGGAG